rnacentral:rRNA from 1 species
GUAUGAACGGCUAAAUGAGGGCCAAACUGUCUCCUAAUACCAAUCAAUGAACCUGAUCUCCCAGUACAAAAGCUGAGAUACAACCAUAAGACGAGAAGACCCUGUGGAGCUUAAAAUAUAACUGCUAAUCACCAGUAAACUCAACAAGACACCACCAAACCAUAAUAGCACACAUUUUUAGUUGGGGCGACUGCGGAAUAAAACAAAACUUCCACGACAAGGGCCGCCAACCCUACCACCAGGUCAACAAACCAAAACACCACUUGACCCAGCAAUGCUGAUCAACGAACCAAGUUACCCCAGGGAUAACAGCGCCAUCCUCUUCAAGAGCCCCUAUCGCCAAGAGGGUUUACGACCUCGAUGUUGGAUCAGGACCCCCAGGUGGUGCAACCGCUACCAAUGGUUCGUUUG